CCAUCCAGCGCGAGGUUUUCAUUAAUUUUUAAGUGCAGCCCGUAAAACAGAACGAGCCGCUCAAAGGUAGGGCCGCGUUACCGAGCGCCGCCUCACCGCGCGAUUUACGAACGGAGGUUGGGAAAGAAGGUGGCCCAUGACACUUGAACACUCUCUUUCUGGGGCCUCACCCUCACUUGCAGCAAUGCUGGUAGAAGGGAUCUGGGUCAGAAAGAUCCACGGUGACCCCGCCCCUCUGCUGGGAUUUUGGUCUGCCAGGAAAUAAAGGGUCCAGAAAGAAGAAGUGUGGCCCUGUGAGGGCACGGCACAGCUCCUGGCGUUGGGAGUGCUGCUGUGUGGGUGAGAAGAUGUGCUCCUGGUGUGUGGGGUUGGGACAGAUGGAGGUUCCUUUCUGCAGGUGUCUUCCUUACUUACUGCUUGAGGGUUGCCAAUGGAGGCUGUAGAGAAAGAAGAUGGACGUUGUGUCUUUUAUGUACUUCUGCUGUACUUAUGUACAUUCUGCUGUUACUUGAGUUAGGCUUUUUUCCUCUUUUCCUGUUCUCAUGGAAAAAAAAAAAAAAAAAAGACUGAACUUAUCAUUUUAACAGAAAAUUUCCCAUCUUUCCCCUCCAAAUUGAGUCUGACUACAAACUCACCCUGGGAAGCACUGGACCUAGGAGGAUGUGCCCUUUUCCCCAGGAUAGAAGAAUGCUGGUGGAGCAACUGAUUGGAAGAUUAAGCUGCUGCCAAAUUAGUCCUGCCAGUAACUGAUUUAUUCUCCAAUGGAUAACUUAUUCCAGCUCCUGAAAUCUGCUGCAUGGAUCCAAGGGGUGGUUUGGCUCAGAAGAGGCAGUGUGAUCAGCCUCUGAGCUCCAUAUAAAAAGUACGAAUCUGAUGCUGGGGUGAAGACGUCAUUGCCUUUGGAAGUCGGAGCCACUGUAGUGCUUCAGCCCAUCCAUCUCUCUGGGACAUCUGCAUAUCCAGAUUAUUUGUAUCUCUGGACCGUGUCCCAAUCACUGUCUUUCUUUUCAACUUCUCUCCAGUUUUAUCCCAAAGUUAUUUCUUCUCAGAAAUUGGACCUAGCCCAGUGAAGUGGUGCGUUCUUAGCCGAAAGUUAGGAACAGCAGUCUCAUCUCCAGUGUCUUAAUUACUAAAUGGGAAAUUAUAGGAAAAAAAUAAUAUAGGUACAGACAUCUGUUUACACACAUACAUCCUUUACUCGUCUAUCUUUACGUAAACCCACUAGAAAGAGCAGUCCAGAUUUCUUGGCUAUAUGUUAAUGGAACCAGUGCUAUAUACAAGGGUUUUUCUUGCCUGCUGUUUUCCUCACCUGAAGCUUGCUCCAGGUCCAGCAACAAUUUUUCCAUCAGUGAAGCUGAACUGAAUUUUUGGCAUCCCAUUUGCCACCGUGUGAUGACAGAGUGACAAGGACAGAAGUGAAAUCUCUGCCAACCCAUGUUGAAAAUGGGAGAUAGACCUGAACUAGGUCUGAUUUAACAACAUUUAUGUUGAUGUUAUGUAGAAUGGAUGCACUGGUGAUGUCUGUUAUGGGUGGAAAGGAUGUGUCGAACUAUGUGUUGAGCUAUAAGAAAGGAGGGGACAGACUCUUUAGCAGGGUUUGUUGUGACAGAAGGGGAAACAGUUCCAAACCAAAAGAGGGGAAAUAUACACUGAAUACAAGGAAGAAGUUUUUACAAUAAAGGUAGCAAAGCACUGGAGCAGGUUGCCCGGAGAAGUGGUGGAUGUCUCGUCCCUGGAGGCAACCAAGGUCAGGCUGGAUGGGACUCUGAGCAAUCUGACCUCACUGUAGGUGUCCCUGUUCACUGAAGGGCAGUUGGACUAAAUGGCCUUUAAGGAUUCCUUCCAACUCAAACAAGUCUGUGAUUCUAUGUGGCAGGGUAAGUAGUACUCCAUAGUAGAAAUGCUAAAUCAUGGCUCGAACUGGUGAUUGAGCACCUGGUAGGAAGGCAGGGCCAACUCAGGGAAGCUCAGGUGCAAGUAAUGCAGCUGAGUGACCAAAAGCGGUGGAGCCAGGAUCUACCCCUUCCCAGCCCUCAUUUAAGGGUUGGCAGUGGUGGUGAGGGUAUCUCUCUGGAGUUCUGUGUGUACUGGAGUCCUUCUGAAAUUAGGGUGCUUCUAGUUGUGCCUGUGGAUGAUGGCUGCUCAUACCGAGAGGCAGCAGUUGUUGGCAGGGCUUGAGCAAAGCUGCUCUUCCUUUUGGCAGCAUGCUGAGCAGUUGUAUUAAGAGGAGUAUGAAUCACCACUCUGAACCUCAAGUCUGCCCCAGAGUCCAGGACCUCAUACACGAGGGGGCAGCUUUCCUCUGUUUUGCUGUGAAAUGAAGAGUCACUGAUCCGGGCUAUCAAGCUGCUGCCUACUGCAAUUCACCAUGAAGAUGGGAAUUGAUCUGGUCUAUGGAGACAGCCUCCAAUUGUAGGACGCCGCUCACUGGCCUUGCAUCCAAGGAGAUGAAUGGAUAGCACUUACAAGAGCACCCAACCAAGACAAAUUCAGCUUGAGCAGUGUCCACUCCUGUUUGGCAAGCAACUAAGUAAGAGCGAAUAGGAAGAGGAGGGUACGUGGGUACCCCUCCAUUUCGGGGUCCCCCCCAUGUCAUGUACAUGUUACAUGGUGCAUGUCAGACCUCACCAUGUCUGGGAGACCUUUAGGCACCAGCACACUAACUCAGCACACUUCUUUUCCUGGUGAGGAAGGGGAAGUGUCCCAUGGCUCAGAUUGUUAUCUGAGCCAGGCUCAACAUGAUUGGGUCCAUGUGACUGUUCAGAAAUUGCAAAACGUAAUUUCUAAACUUACACUGUGACAGGCAGAUUCCAUAAGGAAUCUGCUUUUUUUGGAUUCAUUGUCACCUGUAUUAGAAUACGUUCUGUUAAAGUAAUGAUUGCUUGUAUUCCUAAUAAAGCUGG
ensembl:lncRNA